rnacentral:lncRNA from 1 species
GUGGGAGCUGGGAGACUUUUUUGCUUAUUUCCUGAUCCUUGAAAAGCAAAUGUUAGGAACUGAAUUCUGGGUAUUUGCCCAUUAAUUAACCUGAUCUUUUUUCUACCGUUAUCAACAUAAUUUCCUGGUGUUUGGCUGAAUGCCCCUCCCUCUUUCUGUAGGGCGUGACUCUUCUGCAGCUAGAGGACUGUUCUUUGGUGGUUAGGACUGCAUCUCCAGAGGUCCCCUGCUGCGAGGACUGGCUGGCAUAGGUGGUGAAUGAGGUUUGUUCCUUUGUAGGUUCCUGUUGAAAUCUGUAGGUAGCUGUUCGCUUUGAAUGUAAUUAAGAAAGAGGACGAAAACUAUCCAUUUGGAUCCAAGGUCUGCCUGUGAUUUCAGCUGUAGGGCUUAUCAACACUGGAAGCAAGGAAGGAGGAGGAAAUUGCACCAGAUCAGUCAGGUCCAUCUCCAGCGGUGGCUGUGGAGGCCUUGGAGUGGCGGAAGAUUACCACUCUCAACAGAUCUGCUCUCAGGACCCAUCACCUUCCCUCGGCCUGAGUGCCUCUGCCCUCUGUCCGUGUAUCAGUGACAGAGGCUGUGUGUUUGGCAAGGGGACUGCGUGCCUGCUGAACAGUUGACUCUAACUCUUGCUACAAAGUUUCUCUCUGACCCAGUGGAAGAGUGUCAAGACAUCUGCCUGGGACAGGUUGAGAGCCAAGGCCAAGACUGUAUAGGGCUACC